rnacentral:lncRNA from 1 species
AGACUUAUGGUUAGGCAGUAUAAUUGGUAACAGUAGGAUGUUAGUAGAACAAAUGAUUAAGAAUUCAAAGGGUCAUAACCUUUGAAAUUUGCUGGCUGAUGGAUCAUCUUUUUGGUAGGAUAAAUAGAUUGAGGAAAGAGAGAUCAAAGCCGUCCAGGUUUUAGGGUAAGCUUGAGACUGUGAGAGACUGUGAGAGUCAUAAGC